AACGAACGCUGGCGGCAGGCCUAACACAUGCAAGUCGAGCGCUCACCUUCGGGUGGGAGCGGCGCACGGGUGAGUAACACGUGGGAACCUACCUUGAAGUACGGAAUAACUGAGGGAAACUUCAGCUAAUACCGUAUACGCCCUACGGGGGAAAGAUUUAUCGCUUCAGGACGGGCCCGCGUUGGAUUAACUAGUUGGUGAGGUAAUGGCUCACCAAGGCAACGAUCCAUAGCUGAUUUGAGAGAAUGAUCAGCCACACUGGGACUGAGACACGGCCCAGACUCCUACGGGAGGCAGCAGUGGGGAAUAUUGGACAAUGGGCGCAAGCCUGAUCCAGCCAUGCCGCGUGAGUGAUGAAGGCCUUCGGGUUGUAAAGCUCUUUCAGAUGGGACGAUGAUGACGGUACCAUCAGAAGAAGCCCCGGCUAACUUCGUGCCAGCCGCCGCAGUAAAAC
rnacentral:rRNA from 1 species